rnacentral:rRNA from 1 species
UCUGGUUGAUCCUGCCAGUAGUUAUAUGCUUGUCUCAAAGAUUAAGCCAUGCAUGUCUAAGUACACACGAAUUAAAAGUGAAACCGCAAAAGGCUCAUUAUAUCAGUUAUGGUUCCUUAGAUCGUUAACAGUUACUUGGAUAACUGUGGUAAUUCUAGAGCUAAUACAUGCAAUUAAAACAUGAACCUUAUGGGACAUGUGCUUUUAUUAGGCUAAAACCAAGCGAUCGCAAGAUCGUUAUAUUGGUUGAACUCUAGAUAACAUGCAGAUCGUAUGGUCUUGUACCGACGACAGAUCUUUCAAAUGUCUGCCCUAUCAACUUUUGAUGGUAGUAUCUAGGACUACCAUGGUUGCAACGGGUAACGGGGAAUCAGGGUUCGAUUCCGGAGAGGGAGCCUGAGAAACGGCUACCACAUCUAAGGAAGGCAGCAGGCGCGUAAAUUACCCACUCCCAGCUCGGGGAGGUAGUGACGAAAAAUAACAAUACAGGACUCAUAUCCGAGGCCCUGUAAUUGGAAUGAGUACACUUUAAAUCCUUUAACAAGGACCAAUUGGAGGGCAAGUCUGGUGCCAGCAGCCGCGGUAAUUCCAGCUCCAAUAGCGUAUAUUAAAGUUGUUGCGGUUAAAACGUUCGUAGUUGAACUUGUGCUUCAUACGGGUAGUACAACUUACAAUUGUGGUUAGUACUAUACCUUUAUGUAUGUAAGCGUAUUACCGGUGGAGUUCUUAUAUGUGAUUAAAUACUUGUAUUUUUUCAUAUGUUCCUCCUAUUUAAAAACCUGCACUAGUGCUCUUAAACGAGUGUUAUUGUGGGCCGGUACUAUUACUUUGAACAAAUUAGAGUGCUUAAAGCAGGCUUCAAAUGCCUGAAUAUUCUGUGCAUGGGAUAAUGAAAUAAGACCUCUGUUCUGCUUUCAUUGGUUUUCAGAUCAAGAGGUAAUGAUUAAUAGAAGCAGUUUGGGGGCAUUAGUAUUACGACGCGAGAGGUGAAAUUCUUGGACCGUCGUAAGACUAACUUAAGCGAAAGCAUUUGCCAAAGAUGUUUUCAUUAAUCAAGAACGAAAGUUAGAGGUUCGAAGGCGAUCAGAUACCGCCCUAGUUCUAACCAUAAACGAUGCCAGCUAGCAAUUGGGUGUAGCUACUUUUAUGGCUCUCUCAGUCGCUUCCCGGGAAACCAAAGCUUUUGGGCUCCGGGGGAAGUAUGGUUGCAAAGCUGAAACUUAAAGGAAUUGACGGAAGGGCACCACCAGGAGUGGAGCCUGCGGCUUAAUUUGACUCAACACGGGAAAACUUACCAGGUCCGAACAUAAGUGUGUAAGACAGAUUGAUAGCUCUUUCUCGAAUCUAUGGGUGGUGGUGCAUGGCCGUUUUUAGUUCGUGGAGUGAUUUGUCUGGUU